rnacentral:rRNA from 1 species
GGUCAAGUGAAUAAGUGCAUGUGGUGGAUGCCUUGGCGAUCACAGGCGAUGAAGGACGUUGUAGCCUGCGUUAUGCUGCGGGGAGCUGGCAAACAAGCUUUGAUCCGCAGAUUUCCGAAUGGGGAAACCCAGCUGGAGUAAUGUCCAGUUAUUUCUAUCUGAAUAUAUAGGGUAGAUAAAGGGAACGUGGGGAAGUGAAACAUCUCAGUACCCACAGGAAGAGAAAACAACCGUGAUUCCGUUAGUAGUGGCGAGCGAAAGCGGAAGAGGCCAAACCAAUACUGUGCCAAGCCGGCAGGCGUUGCAGUAUUGGGGUUGUGGGACCAGUUAGAAGCGACUGCCGUUGCUUCAAUGAGUCAGAAAUUAAUUGUGUAGGUGAAUGGCGUGGGAAAGCCAGACACAGAGGGUGAGAUCCCCGUAGCCGAAACACUUUUAACUCAUUAUUGGUAUCCCAAGUAAUACCGGACUCGAGGAAUCCGGUAUGAAUCUGGCGGGACCACCCGCUAAGCCUAAAUACUCUCUGAUGACCGAUAGCGGACUAGUACCGUGAGGGAAAGGUGAAAAGAACCCCGAAAGGGGAGUGAAAUAGAAUCUGAAACCGUGUGCGUACAAGCCGUUGGAGCUACCUUGAGUAGUGACAGCGUGCCUUUUGAAGAAUGAGUCUACGAGUUAGUGUCAUGUAGCGAGGUUAACCCGUCGAGGGGAAGCCGUAGCGAAAGCGAGUCUGAAUAGGGCGAAUGAGUUGCAUGAUCUAGACCCGAAGCGAGGUGAUCUACGCAUGGCCAGGUUGAAGCGCGGGUAAGACCGCGUGGAGGACCGAACCCACUAAUGUUGAAAAAUUAGGGGAUGAGCUGUGUGUAGGGGUGAAAGGCCAAUCAAACUUCGUGAUAGCUGGUUCUCUCCGAAAUGCAUUUAGGUGCAGCGUCACGUGUUUCUUACCGGAGGUAGAGCUACUGGAUGGUCGAGGGGGCCUACAAGCUUACCAACAUCAGCCAAACUCCGAAUGCCGGUAAGUGAGAGCGUGGCAGUGAGACUGUGGGGGAUAAGCUUCAUAGUCGAGAGGGAAACAACCCAGAAUAGCAACUAAGGUCCCAAAGCCUGUGCUAAGUGGAAAAGGAUGUGGAGUCGUAUAGACAACCAGGAUGUUGGCUUAGAAGCAGCCACCAUUUAAAGAGUGCGUAAUAGCUCACUGGUCAAAUGAUUCCGCGCCGACAAUGUAACGGGGCUCAAGCACAGCACCGAAGUUCUAUCAUUCACACAUUAUCCCGGUCGCAAGAUCCAGGAGUGUGGAUGGGUAGGAGAGCGUUGUGUGGCUGGUGAAGCGGCGGAGGAAUCCAGCCGUGGAAGCCACACAAGUGAGAAUGUAGACAUGAGUAGCGAGAGAAGUGUGAGAAACAUUUCCGCCGAAAGACCAAGGGUUCCUGGGCCAGGCUAAUCCGCCCAGGGUAAGUCGGGACCUAAGGCGAGG